AUCUUGCUCUGCAUGGAGUCUGUGUCUGGUAGGCAGUGUACUGCUAGCUGGCUGCCGUAUCUGGAUGGAGCAGUCACUCCUGCACUGCCACCUGCUGCAGGGCUGGCUCACUGCUGUUUAA
rnacentral:pre_miRNA from 10 species